GUUUUUCGAUAUACAUAAAGAAAGUAAGGAAUUUAAACUCCCUGGUAGGCUCACUUGGACACUGCCCAAGCUCUCCAGAGUGAAGAUCGAAUGAUAUCUUUCCAGGUUGUGUAUUAUUACCAUUUAUCUGUAUGGCACUGAAAUUGACAAGGAAAAUAUUGGUGAAUCCGUGCUUUAUUAGUUGCAAUUCAUUCCAAUUCCUUGUGGGGUUGAGCUCAAAUCAUGACACAAGGGUUUUCCUUAGCAAAGGUUCUGGAGGGUAUCGAGGAUCUGAUGUACUUUGCAAGCCUCGAUUUUUUUGUCCCGUUACGUGUCUGGCAAGGUUAAGUUGGGAAGGUUCAACACAUGCAGUUUUGUUGACAAAGAUUGAAAAUUCUUUGAAGGAACUCAAACUGGAUGAAGCGUGGGAAACUUUCAAUGAUUUUAAAAGGUUGUAUGGUUUUCCCGACCUUUUGCUUGUUAGUAGGUUCAUCACUCAACUGUCCUACUCGUCCAGCCCUCACUGGCUACAAAAAGCUUGUGAUUUGGUUAUGAUAGUUUUGAAAGAGAAAUCAUAUCAUCUUCAGCCUGACAUCUUGGCUAAGCUAACUCUUUCUUUAGCAAGAGCCCAGAUGCCCAUUCCAUCAUCAACGAUCCUUAGAUUGAUGCUGGAAAAGGAGAUACUACCCCCAACAAAUGUAUUGUCGUUGGUGUUUCUGCAUAUGGUGAAGACAGAGGUUGGGACAUGUGUAGCAUCCAAUCUUUUGGUCCAGAUUUGUGAUUAUUACAUAAGAUUUUGUUCAGAGAAAAGCCAUUACGCAAACUUUCUGAAACCUGAUACAAUGAUCUUUAAUCUUGUGCUUGAUGCGUGUGUUAGAUUUGCUUCAUCUCUCAAAGGUCAACAAAUUAUAGAAUUGAUGUCAAAAACCGGGGUUGUUGCUGAUGCCCACUCAAUCAAUAUUAUUGCUCAAAUCCAUGAAAUGAAUGGGCAUAGUGAUGAGUUGAAGAAAUUUAAAGAUCUUAUUGCUCCUUUACCAGUGCCUUUUGUUUCUCAUUAUUGGCAGUUUUAUGAGUGUUUAUUAAGCUUGCAUUUUAAGUUUGAUGACAUUGAUGCUGCUGCUGAGCUUGUGCUGGAAAUGAAUAGAUCUCGAGAGUCUCAUGCUAUUGGAGAACUUAGGAAGGAUUACCACAAGCCUUGUUUUGUUCCGAUUGGAUCUCAGAAUCUCAGGAAUGGACUGAAGAUACAAAUUGUGCCUGAGCUGUUGCAAAAGGAUUCUGCCCUCAUAGCAGAAGGUAAAUCAGAUCUUAUUAUGUAUAGGGAUAAAAAACUUCUUCCUAGUAAUAGGGCUCUUGCCAAGCUCAUCAAUGGAUACAAGAAGCAUGGAAAGAUCAAUGAACUGUCAAAGUUUUUACUUAGCUUAAAAAGAGAGUUAUGUUCAUCAGGUGGAUCAAGUUUGUUUUCUGAUGUGAUUGAUGCAUGCAUUACGCUAGGCUGGCUGGAUAUUGCUCAUGACAUUUUGGAAGACAUGGAAUCUUUUGGGGAUCCUUUGGGCUCUAGUACAUAUAUGGCGCUUCUGAAGGCUUAUCAUAAACGAAAUAUGUCUAGGGAGGGAAAUGUACUGCUAAAACAAAUGAGGAAGGUUGGUUUGGUGUUAAAUUUGUCUGACGAGAUAGUUAACUCCGAAAAUGUGCCAGAAAAUGUAGGUAAAAGUUCUCUUUGCUUAAACGAAUCAUCUUCUAUUUGUCAACCAAGUCUGAUGGAGUCUCUUGUUCAAGAAAUAAGUGAGGCAGAGAAGGCAAUAUCUCCUAUACUUUAUGAAUUGAACUCUUCUAUUUACUUCUUUUAUAAGGCUAAAAUGAUGGGGGAUGCACUGAAGAUAUACCGAAGAAUGCAACAGAUGAAAAUCCAACCCACUGUACAUACUUUUGCUUAUUUGGUAUGUGGGUAUUCUUCUCUAAAAAUGUAUCGUGAUAUUACCAUUCUGUGGGGUGACAUUAAGAAGGCCAUGGAGAGUCGGAAUUUAUCCAUGAGCAGUGAUUUGUAUGAGUUUUUGCUAUUGAACUUUCUUCAAGGUGGAUACUUUGAAAGAGUGAUGGAGGUAAUUGGUUAUAUGAAAAAGGGCAGCAUGUAUAUUGACAAAUGGAUGUAUAAGACUGAAUACCUAAAGAUCCAUAAGAAUCUUUAUAGGAGCUUAAAAGCAUCGGAAGCUAGAACUGAGGCUCAAGGUAAGAGGCUUGAGCAUGUUAAGGCAUUUAAGAAAUGGGCUGGCAUUGACUGAAGGUUUUCAAGCGUGUUGGGUGUUUGAGUGAAUGGAUUAUGGUGGUUUAACCUUUUAGCAUCAAGAUUUCAUUUUUGACUUUCUACAAAGUAAGAGAUGAAGACGGAUACUUGAGAACUAAAAGCACACAAAAUGAGAAAUUAAGCUAUCCUGGUGAUGAAACCUUUAUAACUUUCUAAGCCUGAUGAAGAAGUUCUGCAUCAUUCAUUGAUCUUUCCUGUUGGAUCUAUGCUGGAAUCCGCUAAGUCCUGCUGCACUCUCUGUUCUGAUAGCUACCAUGUUGUUCAAGAUGAUGGAUUUACCUUAAAACUUGUGUCUCAUUGGCAACCAAAGUUGCUGUCUUUCCUCUCUCGAGCCAGAUUUGGUGUAGUCUGUUUUCCCAGGAGGCAACUACAGAUGAAGUGCUGAUUAUCUGCCAUUGGGAAAUUUAAAGUGGCAUUACCAGAAUUUCAAUAGUUUCUAGGAUCUUUCACUUUCCUGGGAAGAAGUUAUAGAAGGUUUUUGCUCCGUUGAGACCUUGCCCUGAUGUCAAGACAAUGGCACAUAUGAACAACUUUCUCUGAUUGUUCCAAUUAUUUCUACAUCUGACUCAGAUGGCCAGCUCUAUUCCUAAAUACAAGUUGUUCCAGAAGGCAGCUAGAGCUAAAGCUUUAUGUUAUGUUUUUGUUUUUUCUGUAAAAAAAAUCCUGAGAAGUACGACUCUUCAUACUUCUUAUUGCUGGCAAGAAUCCUUGGCUCUCAUUUGGGAAGUCUUUAUGUGCCAGUUGUGGGUGACAAAACUCUUAGAUUGUCAAACUUAAUUCCUGUUAAUGUACUUGUUGAGAAAUGCUAUUGCUUUACAAAACCAAUUUGCUCUUGUGAAAAUUUCUUGAUUGAGUGACCAAUGGAAAA